GGAGCAAGCUCCCCCGGCGGCGCAACGACGAGCUCAAGAACAGUGCCAAGAGCGGAACCGGGGUGGAGGAAGAAGAUGGGGGUUAGUAUGACAGGUGGGCCCCACGAACGACGACGAGCUCAAGAACAGUGCCAAGAGCGGAACCGGGGUGGAGGAAGAAGAUGGCGGUUAGUAUGACAGGUGGGCCCCACGAAUGGUGUUAACAGAAGGAGAAAACGGUGCUCGUCCCGUCUAUAGCAAUCUCUCCAACCAAACAAAAAAUUAGGACGGACCCAUCCCAUUCAACCUAACAAGAAAUAGGAUCAUCCCAUCCCGAAAAACUGGAACGGAACCGUCCCGUCCUACAUUGUCUCCC
rnacentral:lncRNA from 1 species